GCCCGAGCUGAAGGGCCCGUAUGGGCGGUCGCGGGGCUUCGGCCUGGCCUCUCCGCCGCCUCUGUCGCGGGUCCGGUUCAUUGUCCUUAUUCCCCUCAUCGAUGCCUUUUCCCCCCGUUCUCCCCCGCUCUCCUCCAGGCUCACUGGAAGGUCCGGAAGUGCCGCCCCCGGGAGCCGCCAGCGCCAGCUAUUGGAUAAACAACCUGGACAAACAAUCAUUUUCCUUACCAGCCCUGUUCUCAAACUGUCCUUGCUACGAAGGGGAUUCUGAGUGGUGCAUCUGUUUGGCAAGUGUUCUCAUUUCAGUAUUCCAAGGUGAUGUUAAGCUAUGUUAAUGUGGAAAUUGGCUUUAAAGUUACAUUGGGACACUUAGAGAAACUCAGACUUCUUUCUGAUGGGAAGACUUGUCUCUUCAGUGUCCUUUUGGUAAGGUAGUUUAAAAGCUAAAUGUCAGGAUAGAGGCCAUAAUCUUCUUGAGGUUUUUUUCUAAUAAAAGAAUUCCUGUUCACAAGGCUUAGUGUAAUUUAAGACUAGCAGUAAAAGCUCCAGGGAGUACUUUGGACAGUGCAUGAUUUUUUAAUUUUUUUUUUAGCUAUUGCUACAAUAGGUGAAAAGGUUUCUCUAUGUAAUAACAUUUAUUUAAUCAGAAUUGCAAAUAUUAGGGCCUCAUCCUGAUUAGUAUAAAUCAGUCACAUAGCUGUGGUCCUAGAUUGCAUUAUUUUUAAGUUCUAAAGAGGAAGAAAUGUGUGUCUGCCUAUGGUGUUGCUGAUAGCCUUUUCUUCUGAUUUCAGGUGAGAAGUGACACCUGUGGAACAUGGCUGGUAAUUGAACAGAACUUUAAUGACUGUAGUUGCUAUGAUUGCUACAACUUGAUUACUUAAGACCCAAGCAAUUGGUAAAAUUUUGAAAUCAAGAAACCUUAUUUUUAAAAUAACUUCCUUCUGUGACUAGGGGGAGCAAGGGGAAGGCCUUUUCUCUGGUGAGUAUUAUAAAUGCUGUCUGCAGCUAGCCUGACUUUUCUUGACUGAAGCAGCAAUCCUGUCCCAGCUCUGAAGAUGCCUGCACUGUGGGAUGAGGUAGUAGGUUGUAUAGUUUUAGGGUCAUACCCACCACUGGGAGAUAACUAUACAAUCUACUGUCUUUCCUAAAGCAGCAGAUAAUCAACAAUGGAAGCUUCUCAGUUUUAAGAUCAGUGUCAGAUUUUGCUGAAUUUCUGUACUUGUAGUGCUUAUGACAGGACAAAAUACUUGUAAUAGCUGUGAGAAUUGUGUUCAAAUUUUUAUAGUUCUUGGAAAAGUUAGGUUUCAUUCUGCAUUAUUUUUUCUGCUCUAAUCAAUAAAAAAUCAAGAAUAGAUUAUUCCUGCAUGUGUAUGGUGGGGUAAUUAAAUACAAAUUCCUGGUGUCCCCCUUGUUGGGGAGUUGUAUCAAACAUCCUUCAGAAUGAAACUGAGGUUGACUGCUGAGCUCUUGCUGAAGUCUCUGCUUCUCUGUCAGAGUGAGGUAGUAGAUUGUAUAGUUGUGGGGUAGUUAUUUUACCCUGUUCAGGAGAUAACUAUACAAUCUAUUGCCUUCCCUGAGGAGUAAAACAAACUCCACUGCCUUGCAGCCAGUCCUGGGUUAAAAAUACUCAUUGAGAGAAACCAGAUGAAUUCAGGGUUGUAAAGCAGCAGUGCCAGAAUGUACAGGACUGACAGUCAGUGUGAAUGGUGCAACCCCCACAGGAUACCUGUGACUUAACGUGGCUUUUCUCCCAAGGUGAGUGGCACUGGCUGGGGAUGGAAAAUGCCUGUGCUUUAGGUAGGAGGUGGAACACUCCACAGAGGGAAAUUAUUCCAAGUCAGUUAGGAGAACGUAAAAUACAAGGAGCUCAAGCUUGUACGUUGUGACUUAAACUCUUCUGACAUCCCAGUUUCCAUAAUGCAUUAAAACUUAAAACUCCCAACUGCUUGGUAGAAGUUGGAGGGAAAACUUAAAAUUAUCCUUUAUUUUAUAGUCUGCAUAUUUUUCUGCAGCUUUUCCAAAUCUAAUACAAAAUUUACCUGCUGGCCAAUUUUGGCCAAAACACACCUCACCUUUCUGGGGGGGAGGGGGGGGAGCAGGGUGAAGCUUUGGAGUUUGAGCAUCCAAGAGCCAGAACUUAUCUAUAAAGUGAUAUUGCUUCUGUAAAAAGACUUGUAAAGUUAAUUGCAUUCUUUUUCCUCCUGUUGUGCUUGGUGUACCCAGUCUGUAACUGGUUCUGUGCUAGCAUGCCCAGCAAGCAGCUUGCUGUAGUAACAAAAAAUCCCACAGAAAUAAAUGCUCUUAGGGAUGGGAAGUUUAGCUUAGGCAGAGUGAAAAAGGAGCCUUUUGUGGGUGUUACAGGCAGUGAGCCACUGUUGGUCAGUGCUGACAGUGUCACCUCGGAGUAUAUGCCCAGCCAGGGCAGAAGAGCAGAGCAGCUGGGCAGCUAAAGUCCUGCAGAGAGUGAAGAACUGCACAGAGGAAGCAUGGGGCUCCUAGGAAGAGGUAGUAGGUUGCAUAGUUUUAGGGCAGGGAUUUUGCUCACAAGGAGGUAACUAUACAACCUGCUGCCUUUCUUAGGGCUUUAUUAUAACACCAGGACCAUUUGGGCUCCAGCCUGCAAACCUCUGCAGCUUUGGGACAUGGAGAGAAAGGACAAUGUAUUUCUAAGUGUGGUGAGGAUUAGUGAAAGCUGUGUCUUGGCAGAUUUGGUCCCAAAUGGAGGUGUAGGAAUGCUGGCUGAAAUGCAGCAUGGUGACAUUGGGGCUGCAUGUGCCACUUGGGGGACACAGGGCUGUGGUAAGUAAGAGGCUGUGUGGGGAAGGCAGCUCCUCCAGGGUAAGCUGGAGGCUCUUGAGGUUAGGGUGGAAGUGGUGUGAACUGCUGAACAUCAAAGUUCUGGUACUGUGCUCACAGGGAGCUGAAAUACACCUUUCCUUUGGCUUAGUGCAUUUCAAGUGGAAAAACUCCAGUUUUCCUUCCUCAAAAGCAUCAGAUUCCAGCUGACCUGAAAGCUGGUGCUUUCUCACCAGGCAUAGGCCCUCCAAGUGAACCAAGUUCACAGUGGUGCAAUAUUUACAGUCCUGCAGGAGGGGAGUUUCCAGUUAAAAACAGUGGCACGGUUUCUCAUGGAAUUGUUAAAAAUGAGUCCAUGUUUUUCGAUGUAAUUGCAGUGCACCACAGCAAUAGUUCUGGUAGGGUUCUGGCUGGACACUACUCUGUGGGGUAUGGAGAUUUCAGUUCUGAGCACCUUGCAGCAUUAACAUGCUGUGCUCACACCAGCUGCCAUUUAAAUGGCAAAGCAAAACAGUCCUAGCUUAUAAACAUGUUAAGUAUUGCUUAUAUUGAACAUUUUGUGAAUUUAACUGUACUUUUUUAGUUAAUAAAAUACAGUAUUUUGUG